UACGAAGGGGGCUAGCGUUGUUCGGAUUUACUGGGCGUAAAGCGCACGUAGGCGGAUCGUUAAGUCGGGGGUGAAAUCCUGGAGCUCAACUCCAGAACUGCCUUCGAUACUGGCGAUCUUGAGUCCGGAAGAGGUGAGUGGAACUCCUAGUGUAGAGGUGGAAUUCGUAGAUAUUGGGAAGAACACCGGUGGCGAAGGCGGCAACCUGGUCCUUGACUGACGCUGAGACGCGAAAGCGUGGGGAGCAAACAGG
rnacentral:rRNA from 1 species